rnacentral:miRNA from 1 species
CAGCAGACACAUUCCAGCCAAUCAGCAGCAGACAAUCCCUCCCAGACCCUCCCACCUCCUGGACAGCAUCCAUUUUACAUUCAUUGUCAAGCUGCAUUCUUAGUGAGCUGUCCAAGAGGUGGGAGGGUCUGGGAGGGAGGGUCUGCUGCUGAUUGGCUGGAAUGUGUCUGCU